rnacentral:lncRNA from 1 species
ACAUUUUCUUUAUCCAUUUUUCUACUGAUGGGUACUUAGGCUGGUUCUAUAACUUGGCUAUUGUGAAUCGUGCUGCUAUAAACAUUGGUGUACAGGUACCAUUGUAGUAUGUUGAUUUUGGUUCUUUUGGAUAAAGACCAAAGAGUGGGAUAGCUGGGUCAUAUAGUGGUUCCAUUCAUUCCUAGUCUUUGGAGGAAUCUCCAUAUUGCUUUCCAAGCAUUAAUUGGAGAACAGAUAGCCUCUGUAACAAAUAGUGCUGGCAAAAUAUGGAAAGCCACGUAUAGAAG